rnacentral:rRNA from 1 species
UACGGAGGGUGCAAGCGUUAUCCGGAAUCACUGGGUUUAAAGGGUGCGUAGGCGGUUUGAUAAGUCAGAGGUGAAAGCCCGGCGCUUAACGUCGGAAUUGCCUUUGAUACUGCCAAACUUGAAUCAGGAUGAGGUGGGCGGAAUGUGGCAUGUAGCGGUGAAAUGCAUAGAUAUGCCAUAGAACACCAAUUGCGAAGGCAGCUCACUGGACCUGCAUUGACGCUGAGGCACGAAAGCGUGGGGAGCGAACAGG